rnacentral:rRNA from 1 species
UGGGGAAUCUUGCACAAUGGGGGCAACCCUGAUGCAGCGACGCCGCGUGAGCGAUGAAGCCCUUCGGGGCGUAAAGCUCUUUCGACCGGAACGAUAAUGACGGUACCGGGAGAAGAAGCUGCAGCUAACUACGUGCCAGCAGCCGCGGUAAUACGUAGGCAGCGAGCGUUGUUCGGAGUUACUGGGCGUAAAGAGUGCGUAGGCGGUUUUCUAAGUUCGGUGUGAAAUCUCCCGGCUUAACUGGGAGGGUGCGCCGAAGACUGGGAAGCUGGAGUGUGGGAAAGGCAGGCGGAAUUCCUGGUGUAGCGGUGAAAUGCGUAGAUAUCAGGAGGAACACCGGCGGUGUAGACGGCUUGCUAAACCAUAACUGACGCUGAGGCACGAAAGCGUGGGUAGCAAACA